AUUAUUUAUUAUAAAUUACCACAAAUGCUAUUUUAAAUUGUUAUUUUAUUGGCCACUAGAAAUGUUAAUUCGGGAAGUUUCAGGUUAAAAAUCACAAAUUACAAGGUAUUCUGUCUAUCAACAGGAUAUAAAUAAUAAACACUAUAUAUGUACGUGCGUGUGAUUAUCUCAUUUGCUUCAUUUGCCCUCUCUCUAAAAGGAUAUGAGUUAUGUAUCCACUGUGGCACACCUAGGUUAAAAGGCCAUAAUUCUGUAAAUAUAUCAUGCUGUGAAUAAGAUAGAUAUUUCCUUUAUUUAAGCUUGAUACUCAUCGAAAGUAAUAUAUCACAGUCAUUUACGAAAUUCAAAUGUUAUUCUUAAUAAUAAAUCAGUUGGUCCUUCAAAUAUUCGAAUCCUGCUUUUAACAUUUAAAAAACAUUUAAAAAUCAAAUCUAAAACUUUUAAUAAUCAGUUGUAGUACUUUUUCCAAACAAAAGUCAAUACAUAACGUAUAGACUGCGAUUUGUAAAUUUAAGAUUCGAAAAAUGUAUGGAAUAUAAUAUGUAAAGAUAUAUAAGAUAUUUAAAGCACUUAUUAUGAUACUUAGUAGAUGAAACAAAUUUCUAUUUAGAUACGAUUUUUUUUAACCCUGUUUAUAAAAAUAUCAAAUUGCAUAAACAUCCGCAAUCUAAUGAUAUGAAUCUGAUUUACCGACAAUGAUAAAACCGUUGUAAGUCAGCGCACUCUGCGACAUUCACGAUGUAACGUUACAUACUAGAAAUUUAUCUCUUUUAUCCUAAGAAAAUUUGAUUGAAUUUAUCGUUAACUUCAUCAUAAUUUUACGUCAUAAAUGUUUUUCUAUCCUUAGGUUUCAAAAAUAAAAUUUUUCUUGAGCAGCAGGUGAUAUUCGCAACAACAUUUCGGACAACUGUGGUUGGCAACUAUGUUUGGCAAUCUGCCAUAUGAACAAGUAGUGUGAAUGUAAGCCAAUUAUGACAUAAUAUCGUCUGAAUAUCGCAACACACAUUGCCAAUAUAUCUUUAUGCACUAUACAAUGUUGUUAUAUAGCAUAACUUCAUUAUGGUUCGCUACCAUUAUCGCUCAAUACCAUGAAUAACCUAUAUUCCAUGUACCGAGAUCCCUGAGAAUUUGAAUGGUUCGAUUACGAAAUUUUUCCUAAAGAGGGCGUGACAAAGAAGGGUGUAAUAUUUUUCACGCAAUAAUUGAACAAAAGAAUACUUCUUUCUCUAAUUUUACCAUUAUAUAAAUUAGUUAUAUAACUUUUCAGUGUGUCUAUUAAAAAAUUUCAUAGAAACAACAGAAUUACAUUUGAUACAAAAGUUUGAUGACAUUAAAUGCAAAGGUGCAAGGAAGUAUGAUACUUUGAAGAGAAGUUUGUUGCAAGUAUACCAUGAAGUAUAGAAUAUACAUAUGUACAUACAGUUGAUCACAAAAGUAAACUCCUACAUAUUUUUAUUAAUAUAUUGUAUGUGAUUGUAUAUGUUAUUGAAACACAACUACCAUGAUUAUAUGCAUUGGUAAAAUUUGAAACAAACCUGAAAAUGUAUAUAAAAACUAAGAGACAUUUAGUGCAAGUAUAUAUUUCACAUUUAUAUAGAGAUGAGAGAAGUAUUAGUCAAUUGUCUAUUAUAUUAAGUAUUAAAUUCAUUUAAUGAGAUUGUUUUUGCCAGUUAUUAUAUUUAAGAUGUCUGUUCAUAAUGUACAUAUAUUAAUUUUUGAUCAAAUGUAUGUUUACAAUAAAUAUCUUGUAAUUUAUAUAUACAUCUUCAAAUUGAUUUCCAAUUUUUCCAAUGUAAUCAUAGCACUCGUGUCUCAUUACAGCGCUAAUGAAAUUUUAAAAUAUCUCCUGUAACACAUCUACAAUACGUAUAGCUAACAUAGAAGUUAUGUAUAAUGUAUAGUAAGUGUUAAAAUACUUUCGUGAGCCACUGUACGUUAGGUAACAUAGUAGAAAAUUUCCAAAAUGGAACGUAUGCUUCUAGCUUUAGUCGUUUGAGCGCUGAACUGUUUGGUAAGGUAUAACUUGCAUUUCCUUUGCAUUUAAUCCCGUCAAUUACAUAACAGAGCUGCGAUGACCGGAAGCGCUGCUUAAGAAGCGUCAGCCAAAGAGUCAAAGGUAUUUCUAUGAAGCCCUUAGGAUUGCAGGGUUUACACAUCACAAUAUUAUGAUAUAUCGUUUCCUAAUAAAGAAACGUAACAUGUAUCGUAUAACAAUCGAAUUCGUGCUGCAAAAGAACAUUCGUUUCUCCUUUUUUUUCAGUUUCUUUCAAUAUAUUGUACCUUAAUAUAAAGGCAACAACGAUAAAAUGAUUGUGCAAUACAAAUAUAUAUAUGUUAUAUCUCAUCGAACUUCGAUAUUCUUUAACUUUGCUUUUCUUGUUCGUCUCUUUUAAAGAAUACAACGAAGAAAAUAUUCCCGCUGAAGUUUGGAACUGAAAGUUCUUACGAGAUCACAGGAAAUUACGAUUUUACAAACGGCGAUCACGAUAAACAAUCGACCCCAUUUUUAUUUGGACAAGGUACAAAAAAUAUUGUCAGCAUACACGGUAUGCAGAAUGCGGUUUUACGUUAGAAUAUAAAACUCAUUCACGAUCUAUUAUUAAAUAAUUAAACAAUAGCCUACUUUGCGAGAUUAUCGUCCGGGAUAAUCGGUCUGAUUUAUUAAUAGAACCUCAGAUCGAUUGCCACUACGCUUACCGUAUCAGAAGUUUUGAAAUACUAUGUGAAAAAACUACAGAGCCGGUCUUUUUGCUCAUUUCUUCACGGUUUAUCCGCCUGUCGGUGAUUCUUCCAUCUUCUUUUUUAAAUUUAAACAGUACAAUGAACUUAUAUACAAAUACUAAGGAGUAAAAAGAAUUAUGUAAUCAAUAUCGAGCAUUCUCAGGUCAGAAGAUAACAUUCAAUAAAUAAAUUAAUCAUCCACAAAAAAGAAGCUAUAUAUAUAUCGACAGGCGAACGAACAAUUUUAAAGAGAAAGUGAAACUGAAUGAUCGAGACACCAGUAAUAAACUUCCGCUUAAUAAAGCGAAAUUCGUUACUUCGAGUGAAGGCACUUUACCCACAGACUGAUUUGCACUUUCCAUUGCACGCACACGCAAGAUCAAUCUACGUUCUGCUCUAUAUACAUAUACAUUGCUCAAACAUCACUGUCACACAUUUAUAACGUUGCCUCUGUUUCUCGAUAUCGCGAUAAAAUCGCUCAAAUGAAACUUGACCGAUGCAACUACUUGCCGGAACGUAAUAAUAAGCGACUCGACUUCUAAACUACCAUUACAGCGUUACAGCUUUCUAGUUUUUAUCCACUUGUACGUCUCUAAAGUCUAUCCAAUUUCGUAUUAACAUGCAAUUUAUUCGGUUUAAGAAAAUGAACAAAAAAGUUGUUAGAAUUGCGAGCCAUAAAAUCAGGAAAUAAAGAAAUUAUGUAUGUUUAAAUAAAGAAUUAUACUUUUAUGUAUAUCGUUAGAUAUAAGAAAAACGAAAGAGGAAGUCGAGGUGUAUAAAUCGUCUAUUAUCGUUCGAGUUUCAUUCAAGGGUUGUUUUAUCUAGAAACAAAUUGCACCUUUUCAAAACGAAUGAUCAUCGGGGAUAUAUUUGCACAUUUGUUUCGCAAAAAUAUUCCCAACAGAUCGUGUGUUACAUUGCUACAUAAAUCAAUUUCGCGCUUUUCUCUUUACCGAAAACACCAUACAUACACAUAUAUACAUAUACAUUUGCACGUAUUAAUCAUUUUAAGUAAAACAACAUGAAAGUUCACGCUAGGAAUUGGUAGAACACUUAAAUCACGCACACAUGGUGUAUCGCGUGCAUCGCUAGCCAAAAUCGAUACCACAACAUGUUGCCUGGCGAACAAAGAAUUCAGCUUAGGAUAUAUCUUCAACUUUGUGAAUUCCUUUGUAAGAAAAUAACGUAACAACGAUGACACGCGAAACACAUUGCUCGAGCUGCCAAGAUUACCUUUCAAACUUUCUAUCAAUAUAUAUAUAUAUAUAUAUAUAUACAUUCAUCUAUACACAUUAUUCUAAUUUAUAACAAGCCUAUCCAGUAUACACAUUCGUCGAUACAUAAAAUUUUGAGUAAAUCCUAUUUUAUAAGAUCCUUUGUAAAAUUUCGAGUAGAUUCCACUCUUUGCAAUCCAAUCCGUACAAACGAUCGAUAUUUCGAUUUUUUUCUUUUUUCUUGUAAGACUUUGCUGACGAAACGAAUGAUUAUUUUAAUUACUUUCAAAAAAGGAAUAUUUAAAAAAUUAUAGAAAUGGUUUACAGAAUUAUCGUCAGUUUUAACGGUCAGAUUGAUUGAUUUUGGAAUCGAUUGUAUAUAUGGAGACCGCAAAGGGCGGAAAUUGCGAAUUCCGUGGCGAAACGCAAUUCACCAGGCUUAAAAUUUCAAGCAGAGAUACAUUUGCACGCGAUUUAUAUUUUUUAUUAAUUUUCACUCGGUAACUCGAUUACAGACGUUGAAAAAAAUUGAAAGAGAAAGCAAGCGGUGAGAGUGGUGAAAUAGUAGAGGACCGUUAAUGGACAUAUCUCUUCCUCCUUGCCUUUGCUUCGUGCGCGAAGAAAAAGGUAAUGAUAUAACGCUAAAAACUGUACAAUAUGUAUUUUAUACAUUCUGUUCAGGCCAUUGUACGUGCUCGUGUUACAAGUAUUAUAUAUUCGUAUCUAUCACGCGCUGGUAUAUACAAAUCGAUACACAUCCCGCCACAUUCUUUGAAAUUCACCAGCGUUCGCCCUUUAAAACACUUGUAAAAGGAAACAAUAAAAUCAGUAACGUAACGAUCGAAUUGAGAUAUUGAAGAUUUUCCAUGAUGUGAGAAAUUAAAUCUAUUCCUUAUAAUAAAUGUAUACAUCUAGUCAAUUUGUGCACGUAUCAAUUUUAUAAGUAAAUGUAUUCGCAAACAAUGAAAUUUAAGUUUUUACCGAUAGAUCAUAAUCAUACACAUGCAUUAUUUAAUGAAGGAAUACAUUUACCAAGAAUAAUGGACAUUUUCAUACUUAAUUAGUAAUUUUGUUAAAACGUUACAUAAAUCCACGCAUUGACUGAUAAGUGUAUAUAUUUACCAAAUAGAACAUUUUUAUCGUAACAUAUCAAUGAACUUGCUUCUCAUAUAUCAUUUGCAACAUCAUAAUCGAUGAAAUAAUUGUUGAAAGCGUUUUAAAGUACAUUAUUAUUUAAAAGUUUAAAAAUUUCGAUAUGUUAGAAUAAGUAAAAAUGUUUGAACAGAAAAAGAGUAAGUUAUCUCUUGGGUCUUAGGCCACAUGAAUUAUAAAACACAGAUAACGUAAGGAAGAACCAAAAGUCGAUUUUCUGUGAUAGUAGGCGAAUUGAGAUAGAUCCAUAGAAAUUUCAGAUAGUCAAAUAAUACGAAUCGUAAUAAAAAAAGAUAAAUUUUUGUAAUCUAUAAAUAAUAAUUCAUAUACCUUCGUCCGUGAGUUUUUAAAAUAAAAAGUGAAAAAUAGAAGAAAAAGAAGAUUGUUUCUAAAGACAUGAAAUAAAAUGAUCUAUAAGUCUGUAAGUAUCUUGGAUCUGUUUAAAAAAAAAAAGGAUAAAACAAAAAUGUUUAAUAUAUGUGAAUUAAUUAAAAUAAGGAUAAUAGAAAAUAAAAGAAAAAAUUGAUCAAACAGAGAAUAGAGUGAAAGAACUAUGGAUCUACAUAAAAUCACAAUGUCGCGAUCGAACUUACGAAUCUUUAAAGGAAAGCAAUGGAAAGCCGUGCUUUAGUUCCUCUACUAUCUUCCAUUAUAACUAGAGAAAAUAAAACAUUUCUCUUUCUUCUUUAUCACGGAAUGCUUUAAACAAAUAGGUACGAAAAAAAUACAAUGUACGUUAAACAGGAGUACGGUUUGUCGAGUGCUGGCAAGGUCCUCGGUAAAUUGCAAUGUUUUAUUAAACAGUCAAUUAGUUUUCCAAGGAUUUAUCUUGCUACACUUAAUUCCUGUGCAUUUCGCUAUCGAUAUCUACAUGUAUUUUUCGUUUUUAUUCAAGACAGUGAUUCGUUUGCUUGCUACCCGAGUUUCAAAAUAUCAUUUCUCACAAAAAUUCUUUUCCGUGAUGAGUAGUAGAUUAUAAAUGUUUAUGCAAAUUAUUCAAAAUUCUUUCAUUCAUUAAAUAUUGUAACUAAAUCUGUUUCACUCACUAAAUAUUGUAACAAAUACCUUAUUUUGGAUAUUUUAUAUAUUUUUACACAUUUCGUACACUUUUGCAUCCAUAAAUUUCCCAAAAAUACGUAAACAUGUAAAUACGUAGACAUCCACAAUCGAGCGAUGAGAUUCGUAAAACGAAUAAUCAAGAUACAUAAAAAGAAACUUUAAGUUAGCUAAUAAAGAAACUACUGAUGCUUUUACAAUCACAAUGUAUGUGUGUUUAUACAUAUAUGUAUGUAUGUAUAUAAAUGUAUAUACGUAUAAAUACACAUACGUAUGUAUAUACAUACAUAUGCGUAUAUACAUAUAUAUAUGUAUUUGUAUAUAAACACACAUAGUUUUACAAUUCUUUAUAAAAAAAAAACUCCAUCGAUAUAUCUAUUUUCUUUUUUUGUCACAGAUGAGAAACGCUCGAGAACAUUCAACGCAGUGGAUGAAAAAAGAAGAAACGAAAUGAAAAGAAAACGGGUUGGUCAGGCAAACGAACCAUCGUCAACGGAAUUCGUUCGUCACAUUUCUUUUUUCUUUUCUCUUUUUUUCGUGCAAUGGUCUUUGUUCCUUCGCAAUAGGAAAAACAAGAACAAAAUAAAAAUGAUUGUAAGAUA
rnacentral:lncRNA from 1 species